CUUUGAAAGUGCCUGUUUUUCAUUAUUGAAUUUAUUAUAAUUGUAAAAUUUCACUUAACCAUCGGAUUUCAAACCGAACUUGCUAAAAUGCUGUUUUCUUUGUGCCUGGUAUCUUUGGAGAAGAUCUCAGCCGUGUGAAGAUUGAGAACAUUCUCGAGCAAAAGAUCUAAGAAGACACAUGCAGCUCAGUGCCGGGUCCUAAUGAGAUGAUGAAUGAGAGCGUGCGGAGUGAUGGAGGCUCCAGAUCCACUGGUGACCGCUAAUUCAAGGGGAAAUUCAUCAAAGCGGGUCUGUCCUCACAUGCACCGACAUAAAACAAUGCCGGAGUCCGGUGAAGAUGAAUGGUGGUAAUUAUCGGCUCUACCUGGCCAUAACAAUACGAAUAGUUCUCUCCUGUUUCCUAGGCCUCCCGCUUCAAAUGCACAAAAUGCUGACUUGAAAAAAAAAAAAAAAAUACAUCUGCUGAAUCAUCCCCUAUUUUUUUUAUUAUUUCAAAACAAUUAUUUUUGUCAUGUGAUUAAAAAUGCCAGAGCAGUAGCCUAAUGCUUUGUUCGGUUGAGUGUUGUAAAUUUUUUUUUUUCAGGUAACGUUCAUGCCAUGCUCCUAAUUCUGAUUGGCUUUUGGGCAAAACCACCACACAUAACA